CAGUGAGGAUUGACAGAUUGAGAGUCUCUUUUCUUGAUUCUGUGGGUGGUGGUGCAUGGCCGUUUUAGUUGGUGAGUAAUUUGUCUGGUUAAUUCCGUUAACGAACGAGACCUUUAACCUAUUAAAUAGUCGUGGGAACCCAGGUCUUUCAUCCUCUUUCUCAGCAAUGGGGGGGAGAAACCAUUAUCAUAUUGGUACCCUCUGGGUAUCAUGUGGUAGUGGUGAGGAUCUGAUAGUGUUCUUAUAGGCUUCUUAGAGGGACUCUUUGCAUCUUUAGCAAAUGGAAGUUUGAGGCAAAAAACAGGUCUGUGAUGCCCUUCGAUGUUCUGGGCUGCACGCGCGUUACAAUGACGCAUGCAACGAGUUAUUAAAUUCCUGGCCCGAUGGGGUUGGGUAAUCUUUUUUAAAGUGCGUCGUGAUGGGGAU
rnacentral:rRNA from 1 species